UGGAAUUCUAUGUCGAGUUCCCUGAGCCUGAUAGAACUGGUCCAUCUUUGACCACUAGUGUGGCUAAUACGAGAAUCGAAGUAUAAACAAAAAGUCCUACUACACGAUUGUGCGGUGGGUUCUCUGGUUUGUUAUAAAGCUCCUAUUAUGAUGUCCCUCAAGCAUCAAUGGGUAAACAUUCUUCGAUUUUAGGUAUCGAUUGCAACUUCGAAAACUGUUAGUCGAGGUAUGAGUGUUACCUGAAUCUCAACACUCGUG
rnacentral:lncRNA from 1 species